CCCUUAGCGAGUAACAAAAGCUUGCUGUAAGAAGUUGUCCUGUUGGAAGUACCAAACCUAUUCCACUCAUCAAGGCACCUAGCCAGAGCAUAGCAAUUUCAGUGGUGCCAUCUAAGAAUCCGAUCACCAUGGUAACUGCACAUAUUAACGGACAGAAGAUGGCAAGCACGGAUCCUCCACAGAUGGCCCCAGUUAACCUCCAAACAACAAACAAGCUAGCUGGGAGCAAUUUGAACUCCACUGGAAGGAGAGUACCGGAAACAUCAAAUUCACAGUUUGAAGAAAAGCAACAAAAAUGGCAAAAACAGUUUGAAGGACAGCACAACUUGUAUAGCUAUAGCAAUUGGAGCAUACAUCUGUUUACUUUGAGUAUUCUUUUUCAAAAGUUAAACAAGAUAGUAUCAAUGUUCUGUUCACACAAAGCUGUUUUGUAAGACUGUCUCCACGAUAUCUGGUGUGCAUUUUCGCCUGUACCUGUGUUUUUGUUUUUGGUUUUGCUACUGUUUACCUAUUAUUUACUUAUCUAUGCUACUUAACUCUGUGAUCUGCUUGUAUUGCUCGCAAGAGAAAGCUUUUCACUGUGCCUCAGUAAACAUGACAAUAAAUUCAAAUCAAUUCAAGAUAUUUACCAUAUGAAGGCAUCUGUAUUUCUGUCAAUAUUCGUUUAAAUUGGCGAUCUAGAUUAAUGCAUAUAUGCUUCUAUAAGAAAUAAAUUUUGGAAAAGUGCACCGAUGGAUUUUUAGGAUAUUCAUUGAAUCACUACAGUGUGGAAAGAGGCCAUUCAGUCCAGUGAUCCACACUGACCCUCCAAAGAGCAACCUACCGAGACCCAGCUCCCGAACACAUUCUUGUAACCACACAUUUACCAUGGCUAAUCCAUCUAAUUUGCGCAUCCUUGAACACUGCAGGGCAAUUUAGCUUGGCCAGUUCACCUAAUCUGAAUAUCUUUGGACUAUGGAAGGAAACUGAAGAAACUGGCAGAAACCCACAGAUGCAAUGGGAGAAUGUGCAAACUCCACACAGACAUUUACCCCAUCUAGAAUCAAACUCAGGUGCCCAGCACUAAGGCAGCAGUACUAAAUGCUGAGCCACUGUAGCCACCAAAUAUUAUUUUCAGGAUUACCCAGUUUUAAGAAUUAAAUUGUAUUCAUGGUUUAAAAUUGCCUCUUUUUUUUCUCAUUCAUUGAAUGUGGAUUUUGCUGGCUGGGCCAGCAUUUAUUCCUUUAGCGAGAGAACCAAAGGCAACAUGAGAAAAAUUACAAUGCAGUAAGAUGUUACGAUAUACCAAGGAUGGGUGUGGAGGUGGAUUCAUUUGUGGUCUUCAGAGGAGAAUUUGAUAAACACCUGGUGGGAAGAAUAGUGGUACGGUACCAGAAAAAGGACAGAGAAGCAGGAUAAGCUAAACUGUGUUUGCAGAGGACUGACAUGGGCUUGAUGAGUUGAAUGACCAUUCUCCAUGCUGUAACCAUCUAUGGUUAUUGUUGUCCCUUGUAAAAUAUGUUUUGAUGAAUGAAGCAAAUAAUCUGUUGGCAUUCAAGUUCUCAACUUGAAUAGGAUAAUGAUAAGGACACCUGGAAAUGAAAAAGUGUGGGAAAUACAGCCAUAAAAGAUUAGCAAAUUACACAUGUCAGUUAUGAAUCAUUAAUGAGAGAACUUCCAACAUUUUUAAUGAGGGAAUGUGUUCUGUUAUUUUUGUUUUGUGAUAUACAUGGAGAUCAACUGUCUACAUAUUUAAUGCAUGCUAUUUUGAUGGGCAUAGAUUAAAUUUCACAUUUGAAGCCUGGACAUUUUUCGUAUUGCCUGUUUCUGGCAUAUAGGCAGCAUUUUGAAUUUGAAGGCCAACAUUCCUAAAGAAGAAAUUUUUCCAUUUGAAACUGGGCCAAACAUUUUUCUAAAUCAAGCUAAGACCAGUAUAUUUUUUCCCCAAAUCUAAAUAUGUCAAAGUGUAAAAUGGUUCAGAAGAGGUCUUGAAACUGGAGAAAGGAGUCACCAGGUAUAGGAGAAAGUUUAAGAGAAAUUGAAGAUUUUUCCAGUGAUGGCGAAAGAAUAUAAGAGGGCUGACAUGGGCUUAUUAGAUUGUAUACAUGGAACAUUUGGCUGGAGGAGCUAAUAGAAAAUUGAUGAAUAAAGCCAUGGAAGGAUUUUUAAACGUGGAGUCAAAAAGCUCAGUGAAUGUAGGCAUCAUCGGUAAACACAGGAGACCAGAGAAGACAACGUAAAGUUUAAAAUUAUGGUAUGUACAAGGCUUUUAUUUAUAUUGAACUUAAUUUUACAUUGAAUAUAAGCAUGGAAAUAAUUCUCUUGGCAGUAUUUAUGCUCCUCAUGAGUCUGCUCCCAACCUACUUCCUCUCACACUCUCAGUAUAUCCUAUUAUUAUAUUUUCCUUCAUACAUACCUAUUAUGCCUUCCUGUUAAAGUAUCCACGUGAAUCACUUCAACUGCUCCAUGUUGAAAUAAAUACUACAUUUCUCCAGCUUUGUUCUGAUCCAAGAAAUUUCAUCUAUAGCUAUGACCAGUUUCUUUAUCUCAGAAAAAAUAUGCAAUAAUUUCCAGUCCAUUUGCACUUCCUUUCAGACUUUCAGCCUCCACUUUGCAACAUCUUACAAUAAGGCAAUUGAGAUUAUCAACUUGUUGGAGAGUAUUUUAUCAUGCGUGAGCAGGUGGAUUAUUUAUGGAUCAGGGAUGGGAAUAAAUAGGCAAAAAAGAGGAUUGCAUGUAGGUGGGACUAAAGGCAGACAGCCAACCUGCUAUGAGAUGAUAUUUGGCAUAUUAAAUAUGUUAAUGAGGUUAGAAGCCUGUACUUUAAUCUGUUUUGCACAUGUAAUUGUAGCUGUCCAGGUUUUUCUGGCCUCAGG